CUAGGACGAACGCUGGCGGCGUGCCUAACACAUGCAAGUCGAGCGAGGAGAUCCUUCGGGAUGAUCCUAGCGGCGGACGGGUGAGUAACACGUGGGCAACCUGCCUCAUAGAGAGGAAUAGCCUUCCGAAAGGGAGAUUAAUACCUCAUAACAUUGCAGUUUCGCAUGGAACAGCAAUUAAAGGAGUAAUCCGCUAUGAGAUGGGCCCGCGGCGCAUUAGCUAGUUGGUGAGGUAACGGCUCACCAAGGCGACGAUGCGUAGCCGACCUGAGAGGGUGAUCGGCCACAUUGGGACUGAGACACGGCCCAGACUCCUACGGGAGGCAGCAGUGGGGAAUAUUGCACAAUGGGGGAAACCCUGAUGCCAGCAACGCCGCGUGAGUGAUGACGGCCUUCGGGUUGUAAAGCUCUGUCUUCAGGGACGAUAAUGACGGUACCUGAGGAGGAAGCCACGGCUAACUACGUGCCAGCCGCGGC
rnacentral:rRNA from 1 species